GCGAGCGUGGUCUAAUUGGUAUGACACCCGAUCCCUAAGUGGGAUGUGCACCAUUAUGGUGCGGGAGACCUUGGUUCAAAUCCAAGCGCUGGCU